CCGGCGCACGGGUGCGUAACGCGUAUGCAACCUACCUUUAACAGGGGGAUAACACUGAGAAAUUGGUACUAAUACCCCAUAAUAUCAUAGAAGGCAUCUUUUAUGGUUGAAAAUUCCGAUGGUUAGAGAUGGGCAUGCGUUGUAUUAGCUAGUUGGUGGGGUAACGGCUCACCAAGGCGACGAUCGGUAGCCGGACUGAGAGGUUGAACGGCCACAUUGGGACUGAGACACGGCCCAG
rnacentral:rRNA from 1 species